GAUGAACGCUGGCGGCGUGCUUAACACAUGCCAGUCGAACGAAGCAUUUGCGACAGAUUUUUUCGGAAUGAAGUUGCUUAUGACUGAGUGGCGGACGGGUGAGUAACGCGUGGGUAACCUGCCUUGUACUGGGGGAUAGCAGCUGGAAACGGCUGGUAAUACCGCAUAAGCGCACAAUGUUGCAUGACAUGGUGUGAAAAACUCCGGUGGUAUAAGAUGGACCCGCGUCUGAUUAGCUAGUUGGUGAGAUAACAGCCCACCAAGGCGACGAACAGUAGCCGACCUGAGAGGGUGACCGGCCACAUUGGGACUGAGACACGGCCCAGACUCCUACGGGAGGCAGCAGUGGGGAAUAUUGCACAAUGGAGGAAACUCUGAUGCAGCGACGCCGCGUGAGUGAAGAAGUAAUUCGUUAUGUAAAGCUCUAUCAGCAGGGAAGAUAGUGACGGUACCUGACGAAGAAGCGCCGGCUAAAUACGUG
rnacentral:rRNA from 1 species